rnacentral:rRNA from 1 species
AACGAACGCUGGCGGCAGGCUUAACACAUGCAAGUCGAACGCAUCCUUCGGGGUGAGUGGCAGACGGGCGAGUAACGAGUGGGAACGUGCCCUUCAGUUCGGGAUAACCCAGGGAAACUUGGGCUAAUACCGGAUACGUGCGCGAGCAGAAAGAUUUAUGGAUGAAAGAUGGGCCCGCGUCUGAGUAGCUAGUUGGUGGGGUAAUGGCCCACCAAGGCGGCGAUCAGUAGCUGGUCUGAGAGGAUGAUCAGCCACAGUGGGACUGAGACACGGCCCAAACUCCUACGGGAGGCAGCAGUGGGGAAUAUUGGACAAUGGGCGCAAGCCUGAUCCAGCCAUGCCGAGUGAGUGAUGAAGGCCUUAGGGUUGUAAAGCUCUUUCGUCCGGGACGAUAAUGACGGUACCGGAAGAAGAAGCCCCGGCUAACUUCGUGCCAGCCGCCGCGGUAA